UACACCGGCGUACGGGUGCGUAACGCGUAUGGAACCUGCCCUUAUCUGGGGGAUAACUCGGGGAAACUCGAGCUAAUACCGCAUAAGAUAGUAGAAUGGCAUCAUUCAGCUAUUAAAGAUUUAUUGGAUAAGGAUGGCCAUGCGUAAGAUUAGAUAGUUGGCGAGGUAACGGCUCACCAAGUCUACGAUCUUUAGGGGCUCUGAGAGGAGAAUCCCCCACACUGGCACUGAGAUACGGGCCAGACUCCUACGGGAGGCAGCAGUAGGGAAUAUUGGGCAAUGGGCGGAAGCCUGACCCAGCCACGCCGCGUGCAGGAAGACGGCCCUCUGGGUUGUAAACUGCUUUUAACUGGGAAGAAAAGAGGCCUUGCGAGGCAAGUUGACGGUACCAGUUGAAUAAGCCACGGCUAACUACGUGCCAGCAGCCGCGGUAAUACGUAGGUGGCAAGCGUUAUCCGGAUUUAUUGGGUUUAAAGGGAGCGUAGGCGGCUGAUUAAGUCAGCGGUGAA
rnacentral:rRNA from 1 species